rnacentral:rRNA from 1 species
CUCAUUAAAUCAGUUAUAGUUUAUUUGAUGGUCUCUUUGUUCUUCUUUUUACCUACUUGGAUAACCGUGGUAAUUCUAGAGCUAAUACAUGCGCAAGGUCCCGAGCGCGGGGGGGCAGGGCUUCACGGCCCUGUCCUCGCAUGCGCAGAGGGGAUGUAUUUAUUAGGUUAAACAACCAGCAUCUUUUCAUUUCUGGUGAUUCAUAGUAACUCUUUCGGAUCGCAUUCAUG